rnacentral:tRNA from 1 species
GGGAGUUUGGUCUAGUGGUAUGAUUCUCGCUUCGGGUGCGAGAGGCCGCGAGUUCAUUUCUCAGCAAUCUCCC